UACGUAGGGGGCAAGCGUUGUCCGGAUUUAUUGGGCGUAAAGAGCGUGUAGGCGGUUAGGUAGGUCCGUUGUGAAAACUCGAGGCUCAACCUCGAGACGCCGAUGGAAACCAUCUAACUAGAGUCCGGAAGAGGAGAGUGGAAUUCCUGGUGUAGCGGUGAAAUGCGCAGAUAUCAGGAGGAACACCGGUGGCGAAGGCGGAUCUCUGGGCCGAUACUGACGCUGAGGAGCGAAAGCGUGGGGAGCGAACAGG
rnacentral:rRNA from 1 species